GUCUAUAGCCAUACCACCCUGAACAAGCCCAAUCCUGUCUGAUCUUGGAAGCUAAGCAGGGUCAGACCUGUUUAGUACUUAGAUGGGAGACCACCUAGGAAGAUCAGGUGCUGUAGUCG
rnacentral:rRNA from 1 species